rnacentral:rRNA from 1 species
GGUUAACCGAAUAGGGGAGCCGAAGGGAAACCGAGUCUUAACUGGGCGUUAAGUUGCAGGGUAUAGACCCGAAACCCGGUGAUCUAGCCAUGGGCAGGUUGAAGGUUGGGUAACACUAACUGGAGGACCGAACCGACUAAUGUUGAAAAAUUAGCGGAUGACUUGUGGCUGGGGGUGAAAGGCCAAUCAAACCGGGAGAUAGCUGGUUCUCCCCGAAAGCUAUUUAGGUAGCGCCUCGUGAAUUCAUCUUCGGGGGUAGAGCACUGUUUCGGCUAGGGGGUCAUCCCGACUUACCAACCCGAUGCAAACUGCGAAUACCGAAGAAUGUUAUCACGGGAGACACACGGCGGGUGCUAACGUCCGUCGUGAAGAGGGAAACAACCCAGACCGCCAGCUAAGGUCCCAAAGUCAUGGUUAAGUGGGAAACGAUGUGGGAAGGCACAGACAGCCAGGAUGUUGGCUUAGAAGCAGCCAUCAUUUAAAGAAAGCGUAAUAGCUCACUGGUCGAGUCGGCCUGCGCGGAAGAUGUAACGGGGCUAAACCAUGCACCGAAGCUGCGGCAGCGACACUAUGUGUUGUUGGGUAGGGGAGCGUUCUGUAAGCCGUUGAAGGUGUAUCGUGAGGUAUGCUGGAGGUAUCAGAAGUGCGAAUGCUGACAUAAGUAACGAUAAUGCGGGUGAAAAACCCGCACGCCGGAAGACCAAGGGUUCCUGUCCAACGUUAAUCGGGGCAGGGUGAGUCGACCCCUAAGGCGAGGCCGAAAGGCGUAGUCGAUGGGAAACAGGUUAAUAUUCCUGUACUUGGUGUUACUGCGAAGGGGGGACGGAGAAGGCUAUGUUAGCCGGGCGACGGUUGUCCCGGUUUAAGCAUGUAGGCGGAGGUUCCAGGUAAAUCCGGUACCUU